rnacentral:rRNA from 1 species
UGGUGGAGCGAUUUGUCUGGUUAAUUCCGAUAACGAACGAGAUCUUAACCUGCUAAAUAGCUGUCAGAUGAUUGUUUUUGAUCUAGCUUCUUAGAGGGACUUUGUGGUUUAAACAUGAGGAAGUUUGAGGCAAUAACA